rnacentral:lncRNA from 1 species
UCACAGCAAACUUGGAAGAAAAGAUGAAUGCUUUGUUCAAGAUUAGUUUUUUCAUCAUAUUGGUGCUCACUACUGGUUAUUUUCUCUCCCUUUCUUUCAUAAACAUAUUAAAAUACAGAAUAAUCUAUGAGUUUUUAUGUUAUUGCAGCCUCAGGAGUUGAAUUUGCAAAACUAGAGAAAAAUAUGGUCAUUAAUGGUAGAAAGCAACUUCAAAGCCCAAUUUCCAAAGCACUUAUUAAAAUAAGACAUUGUGAAAUAGAUGAAGAAUGUGAUGAUUUUUGUUCCGGUAGAACGGCUGCGAUUUGCUACGAGUACUAUUGUCAAUGUAUUUAAUAAUCGAAGAAUCUAAAAGUCGAUAAAAGCAAUCAUAAUAAAGGGUUGCUUGUCAAAAUGAUGUCAAAAUCAUUUUCAGUAUGUUUUGAUAUGCAGCUUCAAG